CUACGGGAGGCUGCAGUGGGGAAUAUUGGACAAUGGGGGAAACCCUGAUCCAGCAAUGCCGCGCGUGUGAAGAAGGCCUGCGGGUUGUAAAGCACUUUCGGUUGGGAGGACUGCUUCUAGCACUAAUAUUGUUGGAAGUUGACGUUACCUUCAGAAGAAGCACCGGCUAACUCCGUGCCAGCAGCCGCGGUAAUACGGAGGGUGCAAGCGUUAAUCGGAAUUACUGGGCGUAAAGCGCGCGUAGGCGGCUAGAUCAGUCGGGUGUGAAAGCCCCGGGCUUAACCUGGGAACUGCAUCCGAUACUGUCUAGCUUGAGUACAGGAGAGGAGAGUGGAAUUCCACAUGUAGCGGUGAAAUGCGUAGAUAUGUGGAGGAACACCAAUGGCGAAGGCAGCUCUCUGGCCUGAUACUGACGCUGAGGUGCGAAAGCGUGGGUAGCAAACAGGAUUAGAUACCCUCGUAGUC
rnacentral:rRNA from 1 species